UGCGAAAAACCUUACCUACCCCACAUGUCUGGAAUCCCGAAGAGAUUUGGGAGUGCUCGCAAGAGAACCGGAACACAGGUGCUGCAUGGCUGUCGUCAGCUCGUGUCGAGAUGUUGGGUUAAGUCCCGCAACGAGCGCAACCCUUGUCAUUAUUGCUACGAAAGGGCACUCACGAGACUGCCGGUGACAAACCGGAGGGUGGAUGACGUCAAGUCUCAUGGCCCCAAAGUAGGGCUUCAAGACGUCAUACAAUGGUCGGGCCAGAGGGUCGCCAACCCGCGAGGGGGGAGCCAAUCCUGGAAACCAUUCGUCCGAUCGCAUCUGCAACUCGACUGCGUGAAGUCGGAAUCGCUAGUAAUCGCGGAUCAGCAUGUCGCGGUGAAUACGUUCCCGGGUCUUGUACACACCGCCCGUCACACCAUGGGAGUGGGUUUUACCAGAAGUAGUUAGCCUUAACCGUAAGGAGUGGCGAUUACCACGGUAGGAUUCAUGACUGGGGUGAAGUCGUAACAAGGUAG
rnacentral:misc_RNA from 1 species